AUGGGGGAGGAGUGCAAGGGCGCGGGGGCGGACGUGAACGCCGGCGUCGACCCGGCGGUGAUCGAGAAGCUGUACGAGGACGUGCCGCCGAUGCCGCUGAUGGCGCUGAACCACAUCUCCCGCCUCUGCAAGUCCGUCGACGCCUCCGUCCGGUUCUACGUCAAGGCUCUCGGCUUCGUCCUCAUCCACCGCCCUCCCGCGCUCGACUUCUCCGGCGCCUGGCUGUUCAACUACGGCAUCGGGAUCCAUCUCGUCCAGAGAGACGACGCGCGACGGGCCGCCGACGUCAACCCCGGCGAGCUGGACCCCAUGGACAAUCACAUCUCGUUCCAGUGUGAGGACAUGGGCGCGAUGGAGAGGAGGCUGAAGGAGAUGGGGAUCAGGUACAUGAAGAGGACCAUCAACGAGGAGGAGGGUUCGCCGAUCGACCAGCUCUUCUUCAAGGACCCAGACGGCUUCAUGAUCGAGAUCUGCAACUGCGAGAACCUCGAGCUUGUCCCCGCCGGCGCGCUCGGUCGCCUCAGGCUGCCCCGCGACCGCCACAACCCGCCUCUCCGGAUGGACGGCGCCGACGAGUAG
rnacentral:rRNA from 1 species